CUCAUGGAGAGUUCGAUCCUGGCUCAGGAUGAAUGCUGGCGGCAUGCUUAACACAUGCAAGUCGAACGGGAAGUGGUGUUUCCAGUGGCGAAUGGGUGAGUAACACGUAAGAACCUUCCCUUGGGAAGGGAACAACAACUGGAAACGGUUGCUAAUACCCCGUAGGCUGAGGAGCAAAAGGAGAAAUCCGCCCAAGGAGGGGCUCGCGUCUGAUUAGCUAGUUGGUGAGGCAAUAGCUUACCAAGGCGAUGAUCAGUAGCUGGUCCGAAAGGAUGAUCAGCCACACUGGGACUGAGACACGGCCCAGACUCCUAUGGGAGGCAGCAGCGGGGAAUUUUCCGCAAUGGGCGAAAGCCUGAUGGAGCAAUGCUGCAUGGAGGUGGAAGGCCUACGGGUCGUCAACUUCUUUUCUCGGAGAAGAAACAAUGACGGUAUCUGAGGAAUAAGCAUCGGCUAACUCUGUGCCAGUAGCCGCGAUAAGACAGAGGAUGCAAGCGUUAUCUGGAAUGAUUGGGCGUAAAGCGUCUGUAGGUGGCUUUUCAAGUCCGCUGUCAAAUCCCAGGGCUCAACCCUGGACAGGCGGUGGAAACUACCAAGCUGGAGUACGGUAGGGGCAGAGGGAAUUUCCGGUGGAGCGGUGAAAUGCAUUGAGAUCGGAAAGAACACCAACGGCGAAAGCACUCUGCUGGGCCGACACUGACACUGAGAGACGAAAGCUAGGGGAGCAAAUGGGAUUAGAGACCCCAGUAGUCCUAGCCGUAAACGAUGGAUACUAGGUGCUGUGCGACUAGACCCGUGCAGUGUUGUAGCUAACACGUUAAGUAUCCCGCCUGGGGAGUACGUUCGCAAGAAUGAAACUCAAAGGAAUUGACGGGGGCCCACACAAGCGGUUGGAGCAUGUGGUUUAAUUCAAUGCAAAGCGAAGAACCUUACCAGGGCUUGACAUGCCACGAAUCCUCUUGAAAGAGAGGGGUGCCCUCAGGAACACGGACACAGUGGUGCAUGGCUGUCGUCAGUUCGUGCCGUAAGGUGUUGGGUUAAGUCUCGCAACGAGCACAACCCUCGUGUUUAGUUGCCACUAUGAGUUUGGAACCCUGAACAGACCACCGGUGUUAAGCCAGAGGAAGGAGAGGAUGAGGCCAAGUCAUCAUGCCCCUUAUGCCUUGGGCGACACACAUGCUACAAUGGGUGGGACAAAGGGUCGCGAUCUUGCGAGGGUGAGCUAACUCCAAAAACCGUCCUCAGAAAAAAUGAAAUUGGCUGAUAUCAUGACAAUAUUAGGUAGUAUAGAUAUCAUUAUGGGGGAAGUUGAUCGUUGAAAUGAUAAUAGAUAGGGUAGAGGUAGAAACUCUCAAUUCUUUU
rnacentral:rRNA from 1 species